UAUAUAUAUAUAUAUAAUUUUUUUUUUAAUAAUCGAUUUAAAUCGAUUUUAUCGAUUCAUUGUUGCAGCCCUAAAGGAGACAAACUGUGUUUGGAACAGACAGGGUGGCGCUCUGGCUUUGUUUGGUCCAACAGUUCCGGUUUGUGAGCCUGCAGAGCACGGACUGCAGAGCUGAUUCAGAAAGCACUGGCUGCCGAGUACAGCUUCAGCGCCGCCGGUGGACGGCCUGCUCUUCUACCACCGGCAGACCCACUACACCCCCGGCAGCACCCCUCUGGUGGGCUGGCUACGCCCCUACAUGGUCACCGACAUCCUGGGCGUAGAGUACCUGGGCCCGAGUACGCCAGCCACCAGCUGCAGCAGAUCCUGGAACACAAGAAGCCGUCGAGCAAAGUGCGACCGUCCAACAGCAGCGCACCAUUGCACACCGACAAAAAGACGAGCAGUGUGAUAGGAGUGAAGCAGUCAAUAUUGCGGACAAGUUUUAUUUCUCCUCUGCACUUAAAACAAAUAAUCAGAAACAUCUUUACUGUUUUUUUUCAGUUGCUUGCAGACUGCAACCUUCAUUGUUACGUAACCACCACAAAUAAUACCGGAAACGCAUAGUGGAGCGGCUCACUCGUUUGGACAGCCAAUGAGGACUGUGUUUUAUAAUGGGGGGGGGGGGUCGCUCACUUGGCCCCUUCUGCCAGCUUCGAUCGAUGCAGAAUGGCAGCUGUCACUUGGAACUUUUACAAUUUCAAUUUGAUUCAAUUAAAACGUUGUUUGAAGCAAUAAUCUUCAAACAAUAAAUAAUAAACAUUUGGGUUGAGACGUUUCCUCUGGGAGAUUUUUGCCUACUUUUACUGAUUGACCUGAAAUUUUGCACACAGGUACUCUACAAAAAAGUCAAUCAUGGUAUGCAAAUGCGCCUAACUAGAUUUUCCGCCAUUUGUUUGUUGAUAUCUCAUUGGGUUUCGAAGUUAUGGACCAAUGCAGGUUGUAUGGGGUGUGGCCUAAAUGUUAAAGACUGAAAAACUUUUGCUCGUUUUUUGCGAUUUCCAUCGUAUUUUGGAUUUACAAACGAACAAACUCCUCCGAGAGUUUAAACCCGAUCCACUUCAUUUUCGGGAAAAUGGAUCCUUACAACUGAAUGGUAAAUAGUUAUUAAAAUCAAGAGUUUUCGUGUAACUACCAGGGCGUGACCUCACGUCCAUUUUCUUGAAAACAUAAAUGUUAUAACUCCAAGGAACAUUUUUAUUUCUGGCCAAAAUUUCUAAUUCAUGAUGCUAUUGUACGCCGUAUGUAAGUAUUCCCAUGCAGUGAUUUUCAAAAAAAUCUUAGCGCCACCAAUUGGCUUAGCCAAAUGCAAAACUUUUACACUUGAAUGUGUAUCUCCUAGCCAUUUCAUCCGAUCAACCUCAAAUCCUAGUAUAAUAGCCUUAAGGCUUUGAUGAUAGUUCACAGUGAAUGUUGGGGAGUUUUUGAAAAACCGUGUUGCUGUGACGACACUGUCUUCGCAUGAAAGUUCAAGCAGAUACUUUGGUGCCUUGGCAAACUCAAAAACUCUUUGAGAACUUCUGUCAGUGUCCUAUGUCAUGACAUUAAAGAGCUGAUGUGGAGUUUUGACUCAAAAAUGCUCAA